rnacentral:rRNA from 1 species
CCUACGGGAGUCAGCAGUGAGGAAUCUUGGUCCAUGGGCGAGAGCCUGAACCAGCCAAGUCGCGUGAGUGAGUACUGCCCUAUGGGUUGUAAACCUCUUUUGUCGGGGAGCAAAAGCCGGACGUGUCCGGCUGUGAGAGUACCCCAAGAAAAAGCAUCGCCUAACUCCGGGCCAGCAGCCACGGUCAUACGGAGGAUGCGAGCGUUAUCCGAAUUUAUUGGGUUUAAAGGGUGCGCAAGCGGAUUUUAACGUCAGCGGGAAAAUCGAGGGGGUCAACCCACUCCGGCCGUUGAAGCUGGGGUUCUAGAGUGUGCGAGAGGUAUGCGGUAGGCGUGGUGUAGCGGUGAAAUGCAUAGAUAUCAGGCAGAACCCCGAUUGCGAAGGCAGCAUACCGGUGCACAACUGACGCUCAGGCACGAAAGCGUGGGUAUCGAACAGGAUUAGAUACCCCAGUAGUC